rnacentral:rRNA from 1 species
CUUUCUUUGCUGGCGACCGGCGCACGGGUGAGUAACACGUAUCCAACCUGCCCUUUACUCGGGGAUAGCCUUUCGAAGGAAAGAUUAAUACCCGAUAGUAUAAUGAUUCCGCAUGGUUUCAUUAUUAAAGGAUUCCGGUAAAGGAUGGGGAUGCGUUCCAUUAGGUUGUUGGUGAGGUAACGGCUCACCAAGCCUUCGAUGGAUAGGGGUUCUGAGAGGAAGGUCCCCCACAUUGGAACUGAGACACGGUCCAA